CGGAUGUUGCUUAUAGGAC
rnacentral:siRNA from 1 species